rnacentral:lncRNA from 1 species
UUUUUUGUUGAAUUGGCUGAUAUCAUUAAAUUGAAAGGUUGAUAUCUAUGAUGAUUCUAAGUGAUUAUUCAUGAGGAUUGAGCAUAUUUGGUUUUGUUUUCCUGUUAGAUCUAGUUGUGUGAGCUAUAAGUUUUUUGUUGAGACUUUCAGUUUGUUUUGGUCAUAUUUAGUCAUGUAUAUCGUUCAGUUUCAGUUGCGUUUCUAAGUGUUAGGGUUUGGUGUUAAUUGGUGAAAUAUAUCAGAUCUUGAAUUUCGAUUUUACAAGAUUGUUGAUCCUUAUUAAUUCUACAUGUAUUUGGAACUGGUAUAGUAUAUUGUGUUGAAUUUCCGUUGUUGUCUUGUGUUCAGAUCAGUUGUUUGGUUUCUUCUUCUUGUCUGUUCUUUUUUUUAGCGAUUGCAGGUAAAGAUCUUGUAAGAUCUGUUUGGAUUUGGAUUUUGUGAGACGCAAUCUAUUUGAUGUUUGGAUACCUGCAAAGUCUUGUAACAGUAGUUUGGUGCUGAAGAAGGAGUUCUUCUAUCGAUUGCUUAUUGAAGACCUGUGUUGGUCUCUAAAACCCUUGAAGGUUUUAGGGCAAACCAACCAGAGAUAUUUUGCUGUGACUUGGCUAGUUUUUUGUAGUUCUUGAAAACUACAGUUGUGAUCUCUAUUGAUAUUAUACGCACCCUCUUGUGAACCAUGUGUUGUGAAAUCUUUUUGAAGACGAAUCAAGUUGAAGACGAAUCAAGUUGA